rnacentral:tRNA from 3 species
GGAGGCGUGUUCCGAACUGGCUAAGGGGCCGGUCUCGAAAACCGGUGAGCAUAUUUGCUCGUGUGGGUUCGAAUCCCACCGCCUCCGCCA